CACGUAGGGCGCGAGCGUUGUCCGGAAUUAUUGGGCGUAAAGAGCUCGUAGGUGGUCCGCUACGUCCGCUGUGAAAACCCAGGGCUUAACCCUGGGCUUGCAGUGGAUACGGGCGGACUAGAGGUAGGUAGGGGAGAAUGGAAUUCCCGGUGUAGCGGUGAAAUGCGCAGAUAUCGGGAGGAACACCGGUGGCGAAGGCGGUUCUCUGGGCCUUACCUGACACUGAGGAGCGAAAGCGUGGGGAGCGAACAGG
rnacentral:rRNA from 1 species